rnacentral:rRNA from 1 species
AGGUUACUGCUAUCGAGGUUCGACUAAGCCAUGCGAGUCGAAUGUAGCAAUACAUGGCGAACUGCUCAGUAACACGUGGACAACCUGCCCUUAGGUUGGGUAUAAACCCGGGAAACUGGGUAUAAUACCCGAUAGGUCUCGAUUGCUGGAAUGCAUCGAGAUUUAAAGCUCCGGCGCCUAAGGAUGGGUCUGCGGCCUAUCAGGUAGUAGUGGGUGUAGCGUACCUACUAGCCUACGACGGGUACGGGUUGUGAGAGCAAGAGCCCGGAGAUGGAUUCUGAGACACGAAUCCAGGCCCUACGGGGUGCAGCAGGCGCGAAAACUUUACAAUGCUGGCAACAGCGAUAAGGGAACCUCGAGUGCCAGGUUACAAAUCUGGCUGUCGAGAUGCCUAAAAAGCAUUUCAUAGCAAGGGCCGGGCAAGACCGGUGCCAGCCGCCGCGGUAACACCGGCGGCUCGAGUGGUAACCGUUAUUAUUGGGUCUAAAGGGUCUGUAGCCGGCCGGAUAAGUCUCUUGAGAAAUCUGGCAGCUUAACUGUCAGGCUUUCAGGAGAUACUGUCUGGCUCGAGGCCGGGAGAGGUGAGAGGUACUUCAGGGGUAGGGGUGAAAUCUUGUAAUCCUUGAAGGACCACCAGUGGCGAAGGCGUCUCACCAGAACGGACCUGACGGCAAGGGACGAAAGCUAGGGGCACGAACCGGAUUAGAUACCCGGGUAGUCCUAGCCGUAAACGAUACUCGCUAGGUGUCGGCCACGGUGCGACCGUUGUCGGUGCCGUAGGGAAGCCGUGAAGCGAGCCACCUGGGAAGUACGGCCGCAAGGCUGAAACUUAAAGGAAUUGGCGGGGGAGCAC